CUCCCAUGGGGACCGGGCCUGAGGAGCAGGGCGGCCGGAAAGGAGAGUUUUUCAAGGAAUCUUGCCCACCGGAUUCUUCAGAGCUUCAUUAAUAAUGGCAAAAAAUUAAACCAACUUAACAUUCAACAAAUGGGAUUUGUUCGUAACAAUUAUCGAAGCACAUACAGUAGAAAACUAUAAACUGUUAUUGAAACGAAGGCAGUGGGAAGUGGAGAGAAGACCUGAUAGGAAAGAUAAAAAGAAGAGGAAAAGGAAAAUAAAAGUUUCCAGUUUGACAAUCAAGCUGUCUUCUGCAUCCAUUUCAUCCCAAGACCACCAAGCCAGUGUGGAGGCUUUUUCCUCCUUUCCUUUUCGUGAGGCUGAUCACAACCAGCACUGCAGAGUCCAUUAAAUUAAGAAAUGCUGUUGCAUACAUGUGUGAAUGAGCUGUGAGUAAAGUACUGGAGUAGAGGACACCUAACUUGAAACGUCCUCAUGAAUGUCCAUGUGGCUGAGCAGGAAGUUAACCUGUCAUAGAUGUGCUAAAUCAGAAUAGUUGGGUUUUAUUUUAUUUACUUUUCCCUGGACUCUGUUGAAUGACUGUCAUCUACAAGUUCAGGCUACUUUUUGCUGACGAUUAAUGCACUGGGAGAGCUGAAAGAAAACUGAAUAGUAGAGCUGUCUUUUUCUUGACCAGUUCGCCUUACUUUCCCAAACUCAAAGUCUUUCCCUAUUUCUUUCUCCUUUUUAUUGUAGUUAAAUGAACAUAACAUAAAAUUCACCAUUUUGAUCAUUUUACAAUUCACUGUACAAUUCAAUGGAUUUUAGUACUGUCACAAUGCUGUGCAACUGUCACCACUGCCUAGUUGCAAAACAUUUUCAUCACCCCAAAAGGAAACCUACACCCAUUUUAAGCAGUCAUUCCCUAUCUCCCUCUCUUCCAAACCCCUGGCAACCACUAAUGUAUAAUGUUUUCCGCGUGUAUGGAUUUGCCACUGCUGGACAUUUCGUAUAAAUGGAACCAUACAAUAUGUGGCCUUUCGUGCCUGAUUUCUUUCACUUCGUUGCAUCCAUGAUGUAGCAUGUAUCAGUAAUCCAUUCACUUUUAUGUCUGAAUUCCCUGAUCCUGUUUUCUUCAUACUGUUUGAAUACAAACUUUAAAAUAUGUUGAGGGUGAAGCUCUGUUUUAAUGGCACAUCUGUUAGGCCAAUUCAUUUAAAGAAGGUGAAAACGGAGAUAUUGUUGUGAAAUGAUAAUCGUUGAGAAGCCUCAGCUAAUUUGAUAAUGAGAAGU